UACGGAGGAUUCCAGCGUUUCCGGAUUUUUGGGUUUAAAGGGUGCGUAGGCGGGCUAAUAAGUCUGUGGUGAAAUCACUCAGCUUAACUGAGUAACUGCCAUUGAUACUGUUAAUCUAGAAUAUAAAUGGAGCAGGCGGAAUGAAUCAGGUACAGGUGACUUUCAUAAAUUUGAUUCAAAACACCGAUCGCGAAGGCAGCUUGCAAAGAUAUUAUUGACGCUGAGGCACGAAAGCGUGGGUACCGAACAGGAUUAAAUACCCUGGUAGUCCACGCUGUAAACAAUGAUAACUCGUUGUCGGCAAUACACAGUCGGUGACUAAUGGAAACCAAUAAUUUAUCCACCUGGGGAGUACAAUCGCAAGGUUG
rnacentral:rRNA from 1 species